UCCGAAACCGCAUACUUCCCUACUAUAUAGUAUGGAAAAAGCAGUAGGCGAGCGAAUAAGUAUGUCCAAAUCCUUAGUAUCCAUAAAAGAGUAGGCGAGAAUUACCAGAGUGACGUACUAAUUAUCGCGAGAUUCGGGCAUACGUACGUCCGAAUAUUCCUACUUUCGUACUAUAUAGUAGGGGGAAACAGUAUUUGAAAGGAGUAGUAUGUCCGAAACCUCAGUACUCAUAAAAGAGUAGGCGAGAAGUUCCCGGAUGAUCUCCUGCUUUCGCCCCGAUUUUUGAGUGUUCAUCCGAUGGAUACUCUUCUAUCCCAGGAGGCCACGGGAGAGCAUACGUCAUUAUCAACAUCGGAGAUCAGCAGGGGUUUUCAAAUGGACAGAAGAACACGCGUGUGUUUAUCUGCUGGAGAGAGGCUCAUGAUGCUGAAUGCUGUCAUGAAAGGCUCUGAGUGAGUAUACUACAGAAAUGGAUAACAAAAUCUAUUCAAUCUUAAAUUCUUUUGUGGUGGAGCAAGACCUGCAAGGAAAGAUGAUGG